GGAAAGGCGAAAAGAACCCCGGCGAGGGGAGUGAAAAAGAACCUGAAACCGUGUACGUACAAGCAGUGGGAGCACCCUUCGGGGUGUGACUGCGUACCUUUUGUAUAAUGGGUCAGCGACUUAUAUUCUGUAGCAAGGUUAACCGUAUAGGGGAGCCGGAGGGAAACCGAGUCUUAAUUGGGCGUUAAGUUGCAGGGUAUAGACCCGAAACCCGGUGAUCUAGCCAUGGGCAGGUUGAAGGUUGGGUAACACUAACUGGAGGACCGAACCGACUAAUGUUGAAAAAUUAGCGGAUGACCUGUGGCUGGGGGUGAAAGGCCAAUCAAACCGGGAGAUAGCUGGUUCUCCCCGAAAGCUAUUUAGGUAGCGCCUCGUGAAUUCAUCUCCGGGGGUAGAGCACUGUUUCGGCUAGGGGGCCAUCCCGGCUUACCAACCCGAUGCAAACUGCGAAUACCGGAGAAUGUUAUCACGGGAGACACACGGCGGGUGCUAACGUCCGUCGUGAAGAGGGAAACAACCCAGACCGCCAGCUAAGGUCCCAAAGUCAUGGUUAAGUGGGAAACGAUGUGGGAAGGCCCAGACAGCCAGGAUGUUGGCUUAGAAGCAGCCAUCAUUUAAAGAAAGCGUAAUAGCUCACUGGUCGAGUCGGCCUGCGCGGAAGAUGUAACGGGGCUAAACCAUGCACCGAAGCUGCGGCAGCGAACGUAUCACCCAAGACAACUUUACGGAGUUGACGAUUGACGGAGCGAAGCGACGUCAAAGCGUUCAUUAAAGUCGAGUUGGCUUAGGGAUACGUUCGUUGGGUAGGGGAGCGUUCUGUAAGCCUGUGAAGGUGUGUCGUGAGGCAUGCUGGAGGUAUCAGAAGUGCGAAUGCUGACAUAAGUAACGAUAAAGCGGGUGAAAAGCCCGCUCGCCGGAAGACCAAGGGUUCCUGUCCAACGUUAAUCGGGGCAGGGUGAGUCGACCCCUAAGGCGAGGCCGAAAGGCGUAGUCGAUGGGAAACGGGUUAAUAUUCCCGUACUUGGUGUUACUGCGAAGGGGGGACGGAGAAGGCUAUGUUGGCCGGGCGACGGUUGUCCCGGUUUAAGCGUGUAGGUGUGUGUUCCAGGUAAAUCCGGUUCACUUUAACACUGAGGCGUGACGACGAGGCACUACGGUGCUGAAGCAACAAAUGCCCUGCUUCCAGGAAAAGCCUCUAAGCAUCAGGUAACACGAAAUCGUACCCCAAACCGACACAGGUGGUCAGGUAGAGAAUACCAAGGCGCUUGAGAGAACUCGGGUGAAGGAACUAGGCAAAAUGGUGCCGUAACUUCGGGAGAAGGCACGCUGACACGUAGGUGAAGUGAUUUACUCAUGGAGCUGAAGUCAGUCGAAGAUACCAGCUGGCUGCAACUGUUUAUUAAAAACACAGCACUGUGCAAACACGAAAGUGGACGUAUACGGUGUGACGCCUGCCCGGUGCCGGAAGGUUAAUUGAUGGGGUCAGCGUAAGCGAAGCUCCUGAUCGAAGCCCCGGUAAACGGCGGCCGUAACUAUAACGGUCCUAAGGUAGCGAAAUUCCUUGUCGGGUAAGUUCCGACCUGCACGAAUGGCGUAAUGAUGGCCAGGCUGUCUCCACCCGAGACUCAGUGAAAUUGAACUCGCUGUGAAGAUGCAGUGUACCCGCGGCAAGACGGAAAGACCCCGUGAACCUUUACUAUAGCUUGACACUGAACAUUGAGCCUUGAUGUGUAGGAUAGGUGGGAGGCUUUGAAGUGUGGACGCCAGUCUGCAUGGAGCCGACCUUGAAAUACCACCCUUUAAUGUUUGAUGUUCUAACGUGGACCCGUAAUCCGGGUUGCGGACAGUGUCUGGUGGGUAGUUUGACUGGGGCGGUCUCCUCCUAAAGAGUAACGGAGGAGCACGAAGGUUGGCUAAUCCUGGUCGGACAUCAGGAGGUUAGUGCAAUGGCAUAAGCCAGCUUGACUGCGAGCGUGACGGCGCGAGCAGGUGCGAAAGCAGGUCAUAGUGAUCCGGUGGUUCUGAAUGGAAGGGCCAUCGCUCAACGGAUAAAAGGUACUCCGGGGAUAACAGGCUGAUACCGCCCAAGAGUUCAUAUCGACGGCGGUGUUUGGCACCUCGAUGUCGGCUCAUCACAUCCUGGGGCUGAAGUAGGUCCCAAGGGUAUGGCUGUUCGCCAUUUAAAGUGGUACGCGAGCUGGGUUUAGAACGUCGUGAGACAGUUCGGUCCCUAUCUGCCGUGGGCGCUGGAGAACUGAGGGGGGCUGCUCCUAGUACGAGAGGACCGGAGUGGACGCAUCACUGGUGUUCGGGUUGUCAUGCCAAUGGCACUGCCCGGUAGCUAAAUGCGGAAGAGAUAAGUGCUGAAAGCAUCUAAGCACGAAACUUGCCCCGA
rnacentral:rRNA from 1 species